rnacentral:RNase_P_RNA from 2 species
GGAGGUGGAUGGAAGAUCGCCGGCGGGCAGAGAUAUCGCCCGCGGGAGGAAAGUCCGGGCUCCACAGGGCAGGGAAGUCGUUAACGGCGACCCGGGGUGACCCGAGGGAAAGCGCAACAGAAAUCACACCGCCUAAGCGGGAGGCAACUCCCGCCGGUAAGGGUGAAAUCGUGGGGUAAGAGCCCACGCGCGACAGCCGGGUGACCGGCGGCGAGGCAAGCCCUUCCCGGAGCAAGCUCGAAUAGGGGUACUGUCGAGGGCGGCCCGCCCAAACGACCUGCGUGAGCAGGAAGCAGUACCCGGGUGAGAGUGCUUGAGCGUCACGGCAACGCGGCGCCUAGAGGAAUGAUCUUCUCCGCUUGGGGGGCAACGCCCGAGCGGAACAGAACCCGGCUUAUAGUCCACGUGGGUGC